rnacentral:rRNA from 1 species
GGCUCAGAACGAACGCUGGCGGCGCGUUUAAGCAUGCAAGUCGAGCGGCAAGGGCCUUCGGGCCCUAGAGCGGCGGACGGGUGAGUAACACGUGGGCAAUCUGCCCCCCGGCCCGGGAUAGCCCAGGGAAACCUGGAUUAAUACCGGAUGAGACGGGACCCGCGAUGGCGGGAUCCGGGAAAGGCGCUGCGGCGCCGCCGGGGGAUGAGUCUGCGUCCCAUUAGCUGGACGGCGGGGUAACGGCCCACCGUGGCGACGAUGGGUGGCCGGCCUGAGAGGGUGGACGGCCACAUUGGAACUGAGACACGGUCCAGACUCCUACGGGAGGCAGCAGCUAAGAAUCUUCCGCAAUGGGCGAAAGCCUGACGGAGCGACGCCCGCGUGAACGAAGAAGGCCGUGAGGUUGUAAAGUUCUUUUCGGGAGGGGGAACAACCGUGGCAGGGAAUGGCCGCGGGAUGACGUGAAUCCCGGAAUAAGCCCCGGCUAACUACGUGCCAGCCGCAGC